rnacentral:rRNA from 1 species
AGAGCGAACGCUGGCGGCAGGCCUAACACAUGCAAGUCGAACGAACUCUUCGGAGUUAGUGGCGGACGGGUGAGUAACACGUGGGAACGUGCCUUUAGGUUCGGAAUAAUUCAGGGAAACUUGUGCUAAUACCGAAUGUGCCCUUCGGGGGAAAGAUUUAUCGCCUUUAGAGCGGCCCGCGUCUGAUUAGCUUGUUGGUGGGGUAAUGGCCCACCAAGGCUACGAUCAGUAGCUGGUCUGAGAGGAUGACCAGCCACAUUGGGACUGAGACACGGCCCAAACUCCUACGGGAGCAGCAGUGGGGAAUCUUGCGCAAUGGGCGAAAGCCUGACGCAGCCAUGCCGCGUGUAUGAUGAAGGUCUUAAGGAUUAGUAAAUACUUUACACCGGUGAAGAUAAUGACUGUAGCCGGAGAAGAACGCCCGGCUAACUUCGUGCCAGCAGCCGAC